rnacentral:rRNA from 1 species
UGAGUACGAGAUGCUACGGCAUCGAAGCAGUCUAUGUCAUACUUCCAAGAAAAGCUUGCACUGUCAGAAACAGAUAAUGCCUGUACCAUAACCGACACAGGUGGGUAGGUAGAGUAUACUAAGGGGCGCGAGAUAACUCUCUCUAAGGAACUCGGCAAAAUGACUCCGUAACUUCGGGAGAAGGAGUGCCUUAUUUUUAAGGUUGCAAUAACAAGAUCCAAGCAACUGUUUACCAAAAACACAGGUCUCCGCUAAGUCGUAAGACGAUGUAUGGGGGCUGACGCCUGCCCAGUGCCAGAAGGUUAAAGAAGUCGGUUAGCAUUCGCGAAGCUGGUAACUGAAGCCCUGGUGAACGGCGGCCGUAACAAUAACGGUCCUAAGGUAGCGAAAUUCCUUGUCGGGUAAGUUCCACCCGCACGAAAGGCGUAAUGAUUUGGAUACUGUCUCGGAGAGGGGCUCGGUGAAAUAGACUUGUCUGUGAAGAUGCGGACUACCUGCACCUGGACAGAAAGACCCUAUGAAGCUUUACUGUAACUUGAAAUUGAAAUUGGACUUUAUUUGCGCAGCAUAGGUGGGAGGCGUUGAAAAUAUUCUUGCGGGAAUAUUGGAGCCAUCAGUGAGAUACCACUCUUGUAAUGUUAGAUUUCUAACUUUAUAUCAUUAUCUGGUUAAAGAACAGUUUCAGGCGGGCAGUUUGACUGGGGCGGUCGCCUCCCAAAUGGUAACGGAGGCGCACAAAGGUUUCCUCUGAACGGGUAGAAAUCGUAUCUAGAGUGUAAAGGCAUAAGGAAGCUUGACUGUGAGACCUACAAGUCGAGCAGGGACGAAAGUCGGUCUUAGUGAUCUGACGGUGCUGAGUGGAAAGGCCGUCACUCAACGGAUAAAAGUUACUCUAAGGAUAACAGGCUGAUCUCCCCCAAGAGUUCACAUCGACGGGGAGGUUUGGCACCUCGAUGUCGGCUCAUCGCAUCCUGGGGCGGUAGUACGUCCCAAGGGUUGGGCUGUUCGCCCAUGAAAGCGGUACGCGAGCUGGGUUCAGAACGUCGUGAGACAGUUCGGUCCAUAUCCGGUGUAGGCGUUAGAAUAUUGAGAGGAGCCUUCUUUAGUACGAGAGGACCGAGAAGGACAUACCUCUGGUGUACCAGUUAUCGUGCCAACGGUAAACGCUGGGUAGCUAUGUAUGGAGUGGAUAACCGCUGAAAGCAUCUAAGUGGGUAGCCCACCUCAAGAUAAGUAUUCUC